UCAGAUAGUUCCAAUAUUUUAAAAAAAUAUAGCUAAAUUAGGAAACUUAUUAUAAAAUAUUUUUUUUAAAUAUAAAUUAUCCACAAAAAUGUUAGGCCAAAUACUAAAUGUAGAGGUUUAAUUUCUUUUAAAUUUAUAUUAUUUUUUAAUUACCAAAAAAUACUUUUCCAAAUAGCAAAAAGUAUCCAACAAAAGUCAACUAAGAUUUAAAAUUCAAGUAUAUACAUAGGUGCUUUUUGACGGUGCAUUAACUGAGCUCAUAUUCAGGACCACAGUUUGUGCCACACCCUGGAUGUGACUGCCCCCUGUUGUCAGUCCUCUACACCAGACACUGUCACUUCUGUCUAACAGGUGUCCAAACCUGAUGAUGAGAUAUGGAUUUUCUGGUGGCUCCAGUGAGCAGCAGGGCAUUAUCAGUAUUCUGCGGCUGCACUUCACCGUGGAAACCUGACACAGAAGGUCAGGGGUGUCCCGCUGGUCGGCUAAUUGCUUGUCUCCCCGCUGACCUCUGGUGGAGAACGAGCAGCGAGGAACAGAUGCCGAGUGAAAAAGCGUCGCCCUCGGAGCAGGCGCUUCCUGCUGGGAACCAGAUGACAGUGAAACAGUACUGGCACCACUUCACACCCGGAGGAGACAUGUGUCACUGCAUGCAUAUAUUUGAAUUUUGGAUGUAAGGCGAUGGUUAGGCAGAGCUGCGUUCACUGGUGGCAGAUCGAAGGCAGCGUUUCACGAUGUUUGUUAAGUUAAGACAAUGAGAGAUGUGUUGGAAACAGAAGAUAAACGUUGGUUGUGCUCCAAAA